GAUGAACGCUGGCGGCGUGCCUAAUACAUGCAAGUCGAGCGAACGGACGAGAAGCUUGCUUCUCUGAUGUUAGCGGCGGACGGGUGAGUAACACGUGGAUAACCUACCUAUAAGACUGGGAUAACUUCGGGAAACCGGAGCUAAUACCGGAUAAUAUUUUGAACCGCAUGGUUCAAAAGUGAAAGACGGUCUUGCUGUCACUUAUAGAUGGAUCCGCGCUGCAUUAGCUAGUUGGUAAGGUAACGGCUUACCAAGGCAACGAUGCAUAGCCGACCUGAGAGGGUGAUCGGCCACACUGGAACUGAGACACGGUCCAGACUCCGACGGGAGGCAGCAGUAGGGAAUCUUCCGCGAUGGGCGAAAGCCUGACGGAGCAACGCCGCGUGAGUGAUGAAGGUCUUCUGAUCGUAAAACUCUGUUAUUAGGGAAGAACAUAUGUGUAAGUAACUGUGCACAUCUUGACGGUACCUAAUCAGAAAGCCACGGCUAACUACGUG
rnacentral:rRNA from 1 species